GGACCUUGUACAAAUCUUUUUCUCCCAUAACUGCAACCACAAAUCCACUGAUAUUAGUUUGAAGAGCUACGAUUUAAAAACUAUAAAAAUAGAGAUGAGAAAAUAACUUUUCUUGUAUAGUAUUCAAGAGAGUAGGCACAAUUUAAAUAGGUGACAGGAUAACCUAAUUCCUAAAAUUAUGGGAUAAUAUUCUAUCACUAAUAACAAUAUGAUAACAAUAUUCUAUCUCUAAUAACAAUGUGAUAACAAUUUGAAAUACAGUUGAUUAAAUCCAGAUGGCGUGGAUUUGAUUUUGUCUACACUCCUCCUCAAGCUUGGCUGUAGAUAUUGAUGAGACCAAGCUUGCUUACAAGGAAAUCAAAUGUUUGUUCUGUUAGCCCUUUCAUGAGUAUAUCAGCAAGUUGUUGAGAACUAGGCACAUAUUCAAUGCUGAUAAUAUCUCCAUCAAGCUUUUCUUUGAUAAAAUGCCGAUCUACUUCUACAUGUUUAGUCCUAUCAUGAUGGACAGGAUUAUGAGCUAUACUAAUAGUUGACUUGUUAUCACAAUAGAGAUGCAUAGGUUCUUCAUAUUUGAUCUUCAACUCUUCCAUCACUCUUUUUAUCCAAAUAAGUUCACAGACUCCAUGAGCCAAAGCUCUAUUCUCAGCUUCUGCACUGCUUCUUGUCACAACGGACUGUUUUUUACUACUCCAUGUCACCAAAUUUCCCCACAAAAGAGUACAAUACCCAGAUGUAGAUUUCCUAUCAUCAAUGGAACCAGUCCAAUCUGGAUCAGUGAAUGCUUUCACUUUUCGGUCAUCAGUUUUUGCAAAAAAAUAACCCCUUUCCAGGUGUUUGCUUCAAAUACCUCAAUAUUCUAUAUACUGCAUUAAGAUUUCCCUGACAUGGUACAUGCAUAUACUGACUUACUAAGCUCACGGCAAAAGCUAUGUCAGGUCUUGUAUGUGAAAGAUAAAUGAGCUUUCCAACAAGACGUUGAUAUCUUUCUUUGUCAACAGGAUCUCCUUUGAAUAUUUUUGCUUUAUUACCAAGUUCAAUUGGAGUUUUACUUGGUUUACAACCGAUCAUGGCUUUUUUCCUCUAAAAGAUCAAGAAUGUAUUUCCUUUGUGAAACAGAAAUACCUUUCUUACCUGCAAAUUCCAUUCCCAAAAAAUACCUUAAAGCUCCAAGAUCUUUAACUUUGAAUUCUCGUGCCAUACUUUGUUUAAUUCUCUCUAUCUCCUCAAUAUCAUUUCCAAUGACAAUAAUAUCAUCAACAUACAGAAUCAGAAUAGUUAUCUUCUUGCCUUCAGAGUGUUUGGCAAACAAUGUAUGAUCAACUUGUCCUUGAAUAUAACCAAACUUCUUGAUUACUUUUGAAAAACAGUCAAACCAAGCACGUGGGGAUUGUUUCAAACAGUAGAGCGACUUGUUGUGCUUGCAAACAAUUUGACUACCCAAUUUUUGUUCAAAACCUGAUGGUUGACUCAUAUAAACCUCCUCUUCUAGCUCACCAUUAAGGAAAUCAUUCUUUACAUCAAGUUGAUGCAGUGGCCAAAUAGAAUUUGCUGCCAGUGAAAGUAGGAUUCUGACGAUAUUGAGUUUUGCGACAGGAGCAAAGGUUUCAGUGUAGUCAAUCCCAUAGGUAUGUAUAAAACCUUUGGCAACCAAACGUGCCUUAUAUCUUUCUAUAGAACCAUUAGCCUUAUAUUUUACUGUGAACACUAAUUUGCAUCCUACGAUGCUUUUUCCUUGUGGCAAUUUCACCAAACUUUAGGUAUUAUUUUGCUUAAGGGCACGCAUUUCUUCGAAUAUUGCAGAUUUCCAUUCAGGAAUAGUCAAUGCCUCCUCAAUAGACCUGGGAAUCAUCACACUAGACAGAUUUGAAGUAAAAGCACGAAAUGAAGAUGUUAGAUUGGAAUAGGAAAUGAACUUGGAAAUAGGAUGUUAAGUACAAGACCUUACACCCUUUCUCAUUGCUAUUGGAAUAUCUAGAUCGAGAUUAUGGCUCAAAUUACCCGACACAUUUGGCAAGUGAGGUUCUACCAUCGGUUCGACUUCUUGACUAUGAGUAGGAUUCAUGAUGUCUUUAUUUCCUUGGGAGACCUUCCUCCUAGAGUAGACAUGUAACUCUUGCUGAUUAGGCACAAUGGCUUCUCUCAUUGUUUCUAGUUCUGGUGUACUGUUAGAUGGUUGAACUUGUUUUGGAAUACUUUGCUCAUUUAUUGAAAUGUUGAUUGGGAUGGACUCUGAUGUGGAAAUGGUGGUGUCUACUCCGAGCAAUGGCAAGUCAAGAGUGUCCCAUGAACAACAAGCUUCUUUAUCCUGAUUCUCCCCCUGAAGCGAAGUUGGAGAGAAAUAAGAAGUAUUUUCAAAGAAAGUAACAUCACAAGAAAUAUAAGUUUUCUAAUUUUUUGGGCAGUAGCAUCGAUAACCCUUUUUGCUGGAUACUAUCCAAUGAAGAUGGUUUUAAGAGCACGGGGAUCAAGUUUGCUUCUAUCAUGGGCAUGGAUAUGGAUAAAGGCCGUACAUCAAAGGUUCUUAAGGGAAGAGCAUUUGAGUUGGAAAGUUUUUGGUAGUUUUAGGUGAGAACAAAUAGAGGAGUUAUGAAGUUUUUUGUGUGAUUUGGUAGGUGAUUUAUGAGUUAGGCGGCAGUUAAAACAGCAUCUCCCCAUAAAUAUUUUGGGACAUUCAUGGUAAACAUGAGAGCUCGAGCUACCACCAAUAAAUGACGAUUUUUUCUUUCAGAAACUCCAUUUUGUUAUGGAGUGUUAACGCACAAACUUUGAUGUAUAAUCCCAUUUUUCAAUAGAUAGUCACCGAGGAUAGAAUUGAAAUAUUCUUUGCCAUUGUCUGUUCUAAGAAUUUGGAUAUGAGUCUGGAAUUGAGUUUGAAUCAUUUUGUGAAAAGUUUGGAAUAUUUGACAUGCUUCAGAUUUUUCAUGAAGAAGAUAAACCCCUGUAGUGCAUGUGUGAUCAUCAAUGAAUGUGAUAAACCAUUUUUUACCAUUAGAAGUUGUGAUUUUUGAUGGUCCCCAUAUGUCACUAUGGAUUAAAGAAAAUGGUGUGGUUGGUGAAUAUGUUUUUGGAGGAAAUGAAGUGCGAGUGUGUUUUGCAAGCUGACAAAUUUCACAAUCAAAUGGAAUAGAAUUUUUAUUAUCAAACAAAGAUGGGAACAAACAUUUCAAAUAAGAGUAACUAGGAUGGCCAAGCCUAUGGUGCCAUAACAUUAUUUCCCUCUUACUAGAAAUAGAAACAGAAGUAACUCCAGGAGCAAAGGUUUGUUGACUCUGUGGAAAAUCAUUGUCAAAUUAAUAAAGACCACCAUGAACCUUAGCACAGCCAAUCGUCCUCCUCGAUGACAGUUCUUGAAAUUGACAUGACAAAGAUGAGAAUUUAGCAAAACAAUGGUUAUCACUAGUGGUUUUGCUAAUAGAUAUCCAAUUGCAUUUUAAGGUAGGAACAUGAAGGACGGAUUUGAGGACAAGAUUCUGAGAAAUUCUAAUGGUACCAAUCCCAUCAACAGAAGUUAAAGAUCCAUCAACAAUUUUUAUAGUGGUGUGAUUAGAACAAGGAAUAUAAGAAUAAAAAAGAUUAGAUCCACCUGUCAUAUGGUCAGAGGCACCUGAAUCAAUAAUCCAAGGAUCCUUAGAUUGAAUGGAAGAAUGUAAAACUGAAUAAAAGUUACCAGGUUGAGCUACGGAGCAUGAUCCAAUUGUGGAACCUGAUGAGGGAUUAACAUGAGAUUGACUGGAGGAUGACUGAUUUAGGAGGCGACCAAGAUGCUUGAUUUGUUCUUUGGUGAAUGGUGCAAACGGAUCAGUGUAUCCAGCCUCAUCUUGGCAGUAUUGGGUCUGGUAGUCUCGCCCAUCAGUUUGUUUUCAAGGUUGCCAAUUAGCUGGUUUUCCAUGUAGUUGCCAGCACUUCUCUCGAAUAUGACUAGGACGGUUACAAUGAUCACACCAUGGUCUUUCUCCACGCUUGUUCAUGCGUUGAUCGUGCGUUGAUCAUGAUUAGAUCGCCCAUUGGAAGAUGAAUUUUUGGAUAACAUGGCUGAUCCUUCUAGGGCAGAUAGAAGUAGUGGUGGAUCAUCUGUUAACAUCACCUUUCGACGGCCCUCUUCACGUCGCACCUUAUCAAAAGCUUCCUCUGUGGAAGGAAACGGAUCUCGUGCCACAACCCAUCCUCGUACCUCAUCUAAAUUACGAUUAACACCAGCAAGGAAAUCAUAGACUCGUUCUUUUUCAAGGUUGCACCGCUGUUUGACACUACACCCAGUGCAAGAGGAAUCAUCCUCAAAAAAGAGAUCCAGUUCUUGCCAAACAUCUUGAAGAUCAGAGAAAUAUUGAGUCACAGACUUAGAGCCCUGUUUCAUUUCUUUCAAUUUGGAACGAAGUUCAAAAAUUUGGGAAGCAUUUCCAAGAUCAGAGUACAUACGUCGAGCAGCAUCCCAGACUUCUUUUGUUGUUUUAAAGAAGAGAUAUCGACGGCUGAUUUUAGGCUCCAUUGAAUUAAUAAGCCAAGCGAGAACAAUAGAAUUCUCGGCCAGCCAAGUCAUGUACGUUGGAUUAGUAGGAUGAGGAGCAUGAAGUUCACCGGUGAUGUAGCCUAGUUUUCCUCGGCCACAAAUGACAAUUUUGACUGACUGAGCCCACUGCAAGUAAUUUUUUCCAUCGAAUUUGCGGGCUGUAAUGUGAAGAGAAGCUGUGUCGCUACCGGAGAAAGAGGCGACAUAAAUUGGAGAAACUGGAGUAGGACGCUCGGCCUGGGAUGAACCAGAAGUUGUAGAGACAGGGUCUUCUGGAGUUGGGUGCUCAGCCUGGG
rnacentral:lncRNA from 1 species